rnacentral:rRNA from 1 species
CCCAGAUCCAGCCAUGCCGCGUGGUGUGAAGAAGGUCUUCGGAUUGUAAAGCACUUUAAGUUGGGAGGAAGGGCAGUAAGUUAAUACCUUGCUGUUUUGACGUUACCGACAGAAUAAGCACCGGCUAACUCUGUGCCAGCAGCCGCGGUACAAAU